ACGCUCGACACCUACGGGGGGCAGCAGUGGGGAAUAUUGCACAAUGGGGGAAACCCUGAUGCAGCGACGCCGCGUGGGUGAAGAAGUAAUUCGUUAUGUAAAGCUCUAUCAGCAGGGAAGAAAGUGACGGUACCUGAGUAAGAAGCCCCGGCUAACUACGUGCCAGCAGCCGCGGUAAUCUGAGCGGGCUGGCAAGGC
rnacentral:rRNA from 1 species